rnacentral:rRNA from 1 species
GACGUAGGGCGCGAGCGUUGUCCGGAUUUAUUGGGCGUAAAGGGCGCGUAGGCGGCCUUCUAAGUCGAACGUGAAAUCCCCGGGCUCAACCCGGGAACUGCGUCCGAUACUGGAAGGCUUGAAUCCGGGAGAGGGAUGUGGAAUUCCAGGUGUAGCGGUGAAAUGCGUAGAUAUUGGGAGGAACACCAGUGGCGAAGGCGGCUCACUGGACCGGAACUGACGCUGAGGCGCGAAAGCGUGGGGAGCAAACGGG